GAAAUCACAUGAGUCAUGCUUAAUGUUGGUGAUUGUGAUAACGUAAGGGAAAAAAAUGAUAUUACCUUACUAUUAGUGUUGUCCAAAACUGGUGCCAGAAGACUCGGUAAGGCCAGAGACGCAAACGUUAGUCGUCCUAAUCAGGCGUAAAGGGUGUGUAGGCUGCUUUAAAAGUUAUCUCUUUCAUAAAGCUCUUUUUACGUAGUAUCUUAAUAAAAAUUUAAAUCUAAUCUUUAUUUUAUUUUAUUUUAUUAAUAUCCGUUCUAAGGUAAAGAUCUAAUUAAUUAAAGCUAGGAUCAAAUUGAGGAUAAGCCAAAUAAUACUUAGAGUAGGGAUUAAAUCCGCAGAUACUAAGGGGAAUACUAAAGGUGAAAGCUUUUUAUCUAUUAUUGAUUGACGCUGAGAAACGAAGGUGAGAAUAGGAAAUAGGAUUAGAUACCCAGAUACCUCUCACUGUCAACGAUGAAUGGUGGUUGUUAGUUUAAUAAAAACUGGUAACGAUGUUAACACGAUAACCAUUCCGCCUUGCGAGUACGGUUGCAAAACUGAAACCAAAAAAAUUAGUCGGUCU
rnacentral:rRNA from 1 species